CGUAAACUUUUAACUACACCUACAUCGCCAGGGAACUACGAGCAAAGCUUAAAACCCAAAGGACUUGACGGUACCCCACAUCCACCUAGAGGAGCCUGUCCUAUAAUCGAUAACCCCCGCUAAACCUCACCAUUUUUGGUUAAUCAGCCUGUAUACCUCCGUCGUCAGCUUACCUCGUGAGCGAUCUAUAGUGAGCUUAAUGUCCACACGUCAAUACGUCAGGUCAAGGUGCAGUAAAUAAAAUGGGAAGAGAUGGGCUACACUCUCUAAUAUAGAAUAUACGAAAGACUAUAUAUGAAACCUAGUCAAAAGGCGGAUUUAGUAGUAAAAAGAGAUCAUUAAGCUCUUUUUAACACGGCACUGGGGUGUGUACACACCGCCCGUCACCCUCUUCAAUACCAAGAAAUAGUAUAUAACACAUAUCAGUAAACUAGAAGAGGCAAGUCGUAACAUGGUAAGUAUACCGGAAGGUGUGCUUGGAAA
rnacentral:rRNA from 1 species